rnacentral:rRNA from 1 species
GGGGAGGUAGGAAACCAACAGGGAUUGCCUCAGUAACGGCGAGUGAAGCGGCAAAAGCUCAAAUUUUAAAGCUGGCACCUUCGGUGUCCGCGUUGUAAUUUUGUGAGGCAUCUCCGGGUAGGGCGCCGGCCUAAGUUCCUUGGAACAGGACGUCAUAGAGGGUGAGAAUCCCGUGCUUGGCUGGCUGUCCCCGUCCAUGUGAGGUGUCUUCGACGAGUCGAGUUGUUUGGGAAUGCAGCUCAAAAUGGGUGGUAAAUUUCAUCUAAAGCUAAAUAUUGGUGGGAGACCGAUAGCGCACAAGUAGAGUGAUCGAAAGAUGAAAAGCACUUUGAAAAUAGAGUUAAAAAGUACGUGAAAUUGUUGAAAGGGAAGCGCUUGAGACCAGAAUUCGGUGGGGGGUGAUCAGCUGUCCUUCUGGGCGGUGCACUUGCUCCCCUCCGGGCCAGCAUCGGUUGGGGCGGCGGGAUAAAGAUCACGGGAAUGUGGCUCCUUUCGGGGAGUGUUAUAGCCCGGGUGAAUGCCGCCAGUUCCGACCGAGGACCGCGCCUUYGGGCUAGGAUGCUUGGCAUAAUGGUCUUCAGCGACCCGUCUUGAAACACGGACCAAGGAGUCUAACAUCUAUGCGAGUGUUUGGGUGUCAAACCCUUACGCGAAAUGAAAGUGAACGGAGGUGGGAACCCGCAAGGGCGCACCAUCGACCGGUCCUGAAGUCUUCUGAAGGAUCUGAGUAGGAGCAUAGCUGUUGGGACCCGAAAGAUGGUGAACUAUGCCUGAAUAGGGUGAAGCCAGAGGAAACUCUGGUGGAGGCUCGCAGCGGUUCUGACGUGCAAAUCGAUCGUCAAAUUUGGGUAUAGGGGCGAAAGACUAAUCGAACCAUCCUUGUUGGGU